GGAUCGAGGUGCGUUUAUUGGUGCAAAAUCAGUCAUUGAACUGUUGCUUACUCUGAAUAAUCAAGCAUAUCGUAUGGCCUCGUGCCGACGAAGUUUCUGUCAAGUAUCUGCCUUAUCAACUGUCGUUGGGAGUGUAGUGGACUCCCAUGGUUGUGACGGGUAACGGAGAAUCAGGGUUUGACUCCGGAGAGGGAGCCUUAGAAACGGCUACCAUGUCUAAGGAUAGCAGCAGGCGCGAAAAUUACCCAAUAUCAAAACGAUGAGGUAGUAACGAGAAAUAACGAGAUCGUUCUCUUUGAGGUCGAUCAUUGGAAUGAGUACAAUCCAGACACUUUAACGAGUAUCUACGAGAGGGCAAGUCUGGUGCCAGCAGCCGCGGUAAUUCCAGCUCUCGUAAGGUAUAGAAUUAUUGCUGUGGUUAAAAAGUUCGUAGUUGGAUUUGCAAGUUGGUGAAAGUCCACUCUAACGAGUGCGUACUCUUUGCCUUCAUUUUGUUGACAUGGGUGCAGGUCGGCUUCGGUUGGCUUGUGCUCGGUUAGCAGGAUUACUUUGAACGGCUCAAGUGCUUAAAGCACGUCUUAUGACUGAAUACCGGUGCAUGGAAUAAUGGAAAAAGGCUACGGCCGAGUUUUAUUGGUUUUAUCGGUUGAAGCAAUGGUUAAAAGGAACAACCGGGGGCAUUCGUAUCGCUACGCGAGAGGUGAAAUUCGUGGACCGUAGCGAGACGCCCAAAAGCGAAAGCACUUGCCAAGAGUGUUUUCAUUAAUCAAGAACGAAA
rnacentral:rRNA from 1 species